AUACGUAUGUCGCAAGCGUUAUCCGGAAUUAUUGGGCGUAAAGCGAGUCUAGGCGGCUUGUUAAGUCAGAUGUGAAAAUGCGGGGCUCAACUCCGUAUUGCGUUUGAAACUGGCAGGCUAGAGUACUGGAGAGGUGGGCGGAACUACAAGUGUAGAGGUGAAAUUCGUAGAUAUUUGUAGGAAUGCCGAUAGUGAAGACAGCUCACUGGACAGAUACUGACGCUAAAGCUCGAAAGCGUGGGUAGCAAACAGGAUUAGAAACCCGGGUAGUCC
rnacentral:rRNA from 1 species